AGCUUGCUUCUUGGGUGACGAGUGGCGGACGGGUGAGUAAUGUCUGGGAAACUGCCCGAUGGAGGGGGAUAACUACUGGAAACGGUAGCUAAUACCGCAUAACGUCUUCGGACCAAAGUGGGGGACCUUCGGGCCUCACGCCAUCGGAUGUGCCCAGAUGGGAUUAGCUAGUAGGUGGGGUAACGGCUCACCUAGGCGACGAUCCCUAGCUGGUCUGAGAGGAUGACCAGCCACACUGGAACUGAGACACGGUCCAGACUCCUACGGGAGGCAGCAGUGGGGAAUAUUGCACAAUGGGCGCAAGCCUGAUGCAGCCAUGCCGCGUGUAUGAAGAAGGCCUUCGGGUUGUAAAGUACUUUCAGCGGGGAGGAAGGCGAUGCGGUUAAUAACCGCGUCGAUUGACGUUACCCGCAGAAGAAGCACCGGCUAACUCCGUGCCAGCAGCCGCGGUAAUACGGAGGGUGCAAGCGUUAAUCGGAAUUACUGGGCGUAAAGCGCACGCAGGCGGUCUGUCAAGUCAGAUGUGAAAUCCCCGGGCUUAACCUGGGAACUGCAUUUGAAACUGGCAGGCUAGGG
rnacentral:rRNA from 1 species